rnacentral:rRNA from 1 species
GAUGAACGCUAGCGGCAGGCUUAACACAUGCAAGUCGAGGGGUAGAGGAAGCUUGCUUCCUUGAGACCGGCGCACGGGUGCGUAACGCGUAUGCAACCUACCUUUUACAGAGGGAUAGCCCAGAGAAAUUUGGAUUAAUACCUCAUGGUAUAUAUCAUUCGCAUGUUUGAUAUAUUAAAGUUCCAACGGUAAAAGAUGGGCAUGCGUCCUAUUAGCUAGAUGGUAAGGUAACGGCUUACCAUGGCAACGAUAGGUAGGGGUCCUGAGAGGGAGAUCCCCCACACUGGUACUGAGACACGGACCAGACUCCUACGGGAGGCAGCAGUGAGGAAUAUUGGACAAUGAACGCAAGUCUGAUCCAGCCAUGCCGCGUGAGUGAAGAAGGGCCCUUCGGGUUGGUUAAAACUACUUUUGUCAGGGAAGAAACAAGCAGACUCUAACACAGUCUGCGAAUGACGGUACCU